AACGAACGCUGGCGGUAUGCCUAACACAUGCAAGUCGAACGAGACCUUCGGGUCUAGUGGCGCACGGGUGCGUAACGCGUGGGAACCUGCCCUUAGGUUCGGAAUAACUCCCUGAAAGGGGUGCUAAUACCGGAUAAUGUCUUCGGACCAAAGAUUUAUCGCCUUUGGAUGGGCCCGCGUUGGAUUAGCUAGUUGGUAGGGUAAAAGCCUACCAAGGCGACGAUCCAUAGCUGGUCUGAGAGGAUGAUCAGCCACACUGGGACUGAGACACGGCCCAGACUCCUACGGGAGGCAGCAGUGGGGAAUAUUGGACAAUGGGCGAAAGCCUGAUCCAGCAAUGCCGCGUGAGUGAUGAAGGCCUUAGGGUUGUAAAGCUCUUUUACCCGGGAUGAUAAUGACAGUACCGGGAGAAUAAGCUCCGGCUAACUCCGUG
rnacentral:rRNA from 1 species